UUAGCAGAGAUGCUUURGUGCCUUCGGGAACUCUGAGACAGGUGCUGCAUGGCUGUCGUCAGCUCGUGUUGUGAAAUGUUGGGUUAAGUCCCGCAACGAGCGCAACCCUUAUCCUUUGUUGCCAGCGAUUCGGUCGGGAACUCAAAGGAGACUGCCGGUGAUAAACCGGAGGAAGGUGGGGAUGACGUCAAGUCAUCAUGGCCCUUACGAGUAGGGCUACACACGUGCUACAAUGGCGUAUACAAAGAGAAGCGACCUCGCGAGAGCAAGCGGAACUCAUAAAGUACGUCGUAGUCCGGAUUGGAGUCUGCAACUCGACUCCAUGAAGUCGGAAUCGCUAGUAAUCGUAGAUCAGAAUGCUACGGUGAAUACGUUCCCGGGCCUUGUACACACCGCCCGUCACACCAUGGGAGUGGGUUGCAAAAGAAGUAGGUAGCUUAACCUUCGGGAGGGCGCUUACCACUUUGUGAUUCAUGACUGGGGUG
rnacentral:rRNA from 1 species